GGGUACUUAGCUCAGUUGGUUCAGAGCGCUUGGUUUACACCCAAGAGGUCAGGGGUUCGAAUCCCUUAGUACCCA
rnacentral:tRNA from 1 species